CCUACGGGGGGCAGCAGUGAGGAAUAUUGGUCAAUGGCCGGGAGGCUGAACCAGCCAAGUCGCGUGAGGGAAGACGGCCCUACGGGUUGUAAACCUCUUUUGUCAGGGAGCAAGGUGCAGGUCGGGACCUGCUGUGAGAGUACCUGAAGAAAAAGCAUCGGCUAACUCCGUGCCAGCAGCCGCGGUAAUACGGAGGAUGCGAGCGUUAUCCGGAUUUAUUGGGUUUAAAGGGUGCGCAGGCGGAAGGUUAAGUCAGCGGUCAAAUGUCGGUGCUCAACACCGGCCUGCCGUUGAAACUGGUCUUCUUGAGUGAGCGAGAAGUAUGCGGAAUGCGUGGUGUAGCGGUGAAAUGCAUAGAUAUCACGCAGAACUCCGAUUGCGAAGGCAGCAUACCGGCGCUCAACUGACGCUGAGGCACGAAAGCGUGGGGAUCGAACAGGAUUAGAUACCCUUGUAGUC
rnacentral:rRNA from 1 species